GGUCAAUGGGCGCGAGCCUGAACCAGCCAAGUCGCGUGAGGGAUGAAGGUUCUAUGGAUCGUAAACCUCUUUUAUAAGGGAAUAAAGUGCGGGACGUGUCCUGUUUUGUAUGUACCUUAUGAAUAAGGAUCGGCUAACUCCGUGCCAGCAGCCGCGGUAAUACGGAGGAUCCGAGCGUUAUCCGGAUUUAUUGGGUUUAAAGGGUGCGUAGGCGGCCUUUUAAGUCAGCGGUGAAAGUCUGUGGCUCAACCAUAGAAUUGCCGUUGAAACUGGGGGGCUUGAGUAUGUUUGAGGCAGGCGGAAUGCGUGGUGUAGCGGUGAAAUGCUUAGAUAUCACGCAGAACCCCGAUUGCGAAGGCAGCCUGCCAAGCCAUGACUGACGCUGAUGCACGAAAGCGUGGGGAUCAAACAGGAUUAGAUACCCUGGUAGUCCACGCAGUAAACGAUGAUCACUAGCUGUUUGCGAUACAGAGUAAGCGGCACAGCGAAAGCGUUAAGUGAUCCACCUGGGGAGUACGCCGGCAACGGUGAAACUCAAAGGAAUUGACGGGGGCCCGCACAAGCGGAGGAACAUGUGGUUUAAUUCGAUGAUACGCGAGGAACCUUACCCGGGUUUGAACGCAUUCGGACCGAGGUGGAAACACCUUUUCUAGCAAUAGCCGUUUGCGAGGUGCUGCAUGGUUGUCGUCAGCUCGUGCCGUGAGGUGUCGGCUUAAGUGCCAUAACGAGCGCAACCCUUGCCACUAGUUACUAACAGGUGAUGCUGAGGACUCUGGUGGGACUGCCAGCGUAAGCUGCGAGGAAGGCGGGGAUGACGUCAAAUCAGCACGGCCCUUACAUCCGGGGCGACACACGUGUUACAAUGGCGUGGACAAAGGGAGGCCACCUGGCGACAGGGAGCGAAUCCCCAAACCACGUCUCAGUUCGGAUCGGAGUCUGCAACCCGACUCCGUGAAGCUGGAU
rnacentral:rRNA from 1 species